UGCUGUAGUUUCGGGCCUGGG
rnacentral:siRNA from 1 species